rnacentral:rRNA from 1 species
UACGGAGGGGGCUAGCGUUGUUCGGAAUUACUGGGCGUAAAGCGCGCGUAGGCGGACCUGCAAGUCGGGGGUGAAAGCCCGAGGCUCAACCUCGGAACUGCCUUCGAUACUGCGGGUCUCGAGUCCGGGAGAGGUGAGUGGAAUUCCUAGUGUAGAGGUGAAAUUCGUAGAUAUUCGGAAGAACACCAGUGGCGAAGGCGGCUCACUGGACUGGUAUUGACGCUGAGGUGCGAAAGCGUGGGGAUCAAACAGG